rnacentral:lncRNA from 1 species
AUGUCACAGAAAAACCCAGUUAGUGAGAGUAAAGUUAAACUAUAUUUAGGGAAAAAGAGCAAACUAUCUAAGAUACAGUGUGGUCACAACCAGGUAAAAAAUGCACCUCAGAAAGACAGAGAGGAAACACACCAAAGUGGUAAUAAUGUCUAUAAUGUAAUGCUGGAGUUACAGGUUACUUGGUUUUCCAGAAGCAGCAAGUUCAGGCUUAUCCUCCUACCCAGGAACCUUGGUGGAAUUUAGUUUCUUCUUUAAUGUGUCCUCCAAAUUUUUUACUCUGCCCAUAAUUAGAGGGAAAAAAAGAAAAGCAUUUUAAAAGUCAGUUAUUAAAAGUUCCCUGGAGGUCGAAUGGUUAGGACUUGGCACUUUCACUGAGGUGGCCUGGGUUCAGUCCCUGGUCAGGAAGUUAGAAUCCUACAAGCUGUGUGGUGCAGCCAAAAAAAUUAUUAAAUAAAAAAAUAAAAAGGAAUAAAACAAAGUCAGUUGUUAAUAUAAACGUGGGUCUCAAAAUUAUUCCUGUAUUUUUCAUGUUUAAUCAUUUUUAUGAUUUAAAAAAUAUAUUAAAUUAUCAUGAGCUAUAUCAAUGACUCAUCUGUAGACUGUAAGCCUCAUGAGAGCUAUGCCUGUUUUAUUCACUAAUGCAUUCCAAAUACCUAGAGCAAUCCUGGUGCUGAGUAGGCAGUUAAUAAAUACUUGUUGAGUGAGCACUUGAAUAUUCUGGUUCUGACAGAAGAAAUAUGGAAAUUAACACAUCAGGCUUCUAAAUCAAGGAUGUGCUCGAACCAGCCUCCAUGAAUCAGGAUAAAUGGUGCAUCUUUAACCACCAAUUGGUAAAGAAAACUUCACACUCAUAGUCUAAAAAUUAUUGGGCUCCUCUUCUCAAAGGAGAUUCCAUUCCUCCAACAUAACAGGAUCUAAUAGAAAAGUCCUGCUACCGCAGCAUCAGUAAUGUGACACCUUAUUUACUGAUACUUUAAAAAACUAUUAUGCAUGUUUGCCAUGCAAGGCAAGAUGGAACCAAAAGAAA